rnacentral:lncRNA from 1 species
UUUAGAUUUUUUUUUUUUUUUUUCCGAUGCGUUGCAUUUUUGGGGCGUUUUCCGGAGAUUUCGGUGUCAGAAUGCGGGAAAUGGGGUGGGGACAUUUUGGUGCAUCUGAGCAGCCAUUUUGGGGCGUUUAUCUCCAUUUUGGGGGUAUUUCUCACAAUUUUGGGGCCAUUUAUCUCCAUUUUGGGGCAUUUAUAUCCAUCUUGGAGCCAUUUUGCUCCAUUUGGGGCUAUUUCUCUCCAUUUUGAGCCAUUUCUCUCCAUUUUGGGGGCAUUUCUCUCCGUUUUGAGCCAUUUCCCUUCAUUUUGGGUCAUUUCUCUUUCUUUGGGAGCGUUUCUCUCAAUUUUGGUGAAUUUUGCUCUAUUUCCAGCCAUUUCUCUCCGUUUUGGGGCAGAUCUCCCCAUUUUGGAGCCAUUUCAUUUCAGUUUGGGCCAUUUCUCACCAUUUUUGGUGUUGUUUCUCCCCGUUUUGGCAUAUUUUUCUCUAUUUUGGGACAUCUCUCUCAAUUUUUGGCCAUUUCUCUCCAUUUUGGGGUCAUUUCUUACCAUUUUGGGGCAGAUCUCUCCAUUUGGAGUCAUUUCUUUCCACUUCGGGCCGUUCUUCCCAAUUUGGGGUCAUUUUUCUCCAGUUUGGGGCCAUUUUUUUCCCAUUUCUGGCCAUUUCUCUCCAUUUUGGGGUCAUUUCUCUCCAUUUUGGGGCAUUUCUCUCUGUGUGGACACAUUUCUAUCACUUUUUGGACUGUUUCACUCAGUUUUGGGGCAUUUCCCUCAAUUUUCAGCCAUUUCUCAGUUUGGGGCCAUUUCUCUCCAUUUUGAGGUGUUUUCUCUCCAUUUUGGGCCAUUCCUCUCCAUUUUUGGGGCCAUUUCUUGGCUUUUCAGAGCAUCUCUUUGCAGCCCUUUCAGGACGCUCACAUUCACCCAUUUUAGGGCGUUUCUCCACGUUUUGAGCAUUCUCUCAUCAUUCCAUUUUGGGUUGCAGGUACCCCAAAAUCGGUUUAGAGCUCUCCCUACCCAACGAUUUUGUGCCAUUUCUUUGCAUUUUGGGCAAAUUUUCACCCACCAAUUCGGGCUUAUUUUCGUUCAUCCCUUUCCACACAUUUGGGGACAUUUCUCCGCCUCUGGAAGUGCUUAUUUUGAACCAGAUCUUCAUUAUUCCCCCCCCAUUUUGGUACACCGGGGGUUCUGGGUCUGGGGGCCCCCCCAACACCCCCCCUCCACCCCCCCGCAUGACUCAGGGCUGUGGUUUCCCGUCUAUAAAAUCGGGGGUGGAGGCACCCGGUGUCACCCAAAGCCAUGGCGGGUGCCCGGGACCCGUGAGCGGGGGCACUGGGAGCACUGGGAUGGGACUGGGGGGGUUACUGGGAGCACUCGAUGGGGUUAA